UCCGGUAUGGUCUAGUGGCUAGGAUACCUGGUUUUCACCCAAGAGGCUCGGGUUUGAUUCCCGGUAUCGGAA
rnacentral:tRNA from 1 species